rnacentral:rRNA from 1 species
UGGGGAAUAUUGGACAAUGGGCGAAAGCCUGAUCCAGCAAUGCCGCGUGAGUGAAAAAGGCCUUAGGGUUGUAAAGCUCUUUCACCCGUGAAGAUGAUGACGGUAGCGGGAGAAGAAGCCCCGGCUAAUUCCGUGCCAGCAGCCGCGGUAAUACGGAAGGGGCUAGCGUUGUUCGGAUUUACUGGGCGUAAAGCGCGCGUAGGCGGCGGACCAAGUUAGGCGUGAAAGCCCUGGGCUCAACCCGGGAACUGCGCUUAAGACUGGUUUGCUUGAGUCCGGGAGAGGGUGGUGGAACUCCCAGUGUAGAGGUGAAAUUCGUAGAUAUUGGGAAGAACACCGGUGGCGAAGGCGGCCACCUGGACCGGUACUGACGCUGAGGUGCGAAAGCGUGGGGAGCAAACAGGAUUAGAUACCCCCGUAGUCC